CCUACGGGAGGCAGCAGUGAGGAAUAUUGGUCAAUGGGCGUAAGCCUGAACCAGCCACGUCGCGUGAAGGAUGAAGGUUCUCUGGAUCGUAAACCUCUUUUAAAAGGGAGUAAAGUGUGGGUCGUGUCUUAUUUUGUAUGUACCUUAUGAAUACAGAUCGGCUAACUCCGUGCCAGCAGCCGCGGUAAUACGGAGGAUCCGAGCGGUAUCCGGAUUUGUUGGGUUUAACGGGUGCGUAGGCGGCCUUUUUAGUCAGCGGUGAAAGUCUGUGGCUCAACCAUAGAAUUGCCGUUGAAACUGGGGGGCUUGAGUAUGUUUGAGGCAGGCGGAAUGCGUGGUGUAGCGGUGAAAUGCUUAGAUAUCACGCAGAACCCCGAUUGCGAAGGCAGCCUACCAAGCCAUGACUGACGCUGAUGCACGAAAGCGUGGGGAUCAAACAGGAUUAGAUACCCCUGUAGUC
rnacentral:rRNA from 1 species